rnacentral:rRNA from 1 species
UACGACGGGUGCAAGCGUUACUCGGAAUUACUGGGCGUAAAGCGUGCGUAGGUGGUUUGUUAAGUCUGCUGUGAAAGCCCCGGGCUCAACCUGGGAAUGGCAGUGGAUACUGGCAAGCUAGAGUGCGGUAGAGGGGUGUGGAAUUCCCGGUGUAGCGGUGAAAUGCGUAGAGAUCGGGAGGAACACCAGUGGCGAAGGCGGCACCCUGGACCAGCACUGACACUGAGGCACGAAAGCGUGGGGAGCAAACAGG